rnacentral:rRNA from 1 species
GUAGGGUGCGAGCGUUAAUCGGAAUUACUGGGCGUAAAGCGUACGCAGGCGGCUAUGCAAGACAGAUGUGAAAUCCCCGGGCUUAACCUGGGAACUGCAUUUGUGACUGCAUGGCUAGAGUCCGUUAGAGGGGGGUGGAAUUCCACGUGUAGCAGUGAAAUGCGUAGAGAUGUGGAGGAACACCGAUGGCGAAGGCAGCCCCCUGGGAUGAGACUGACGCUCAGGUACGAAAGCGUGGGGAGCAAACAGGAUUAGAUACCCUGGUAGUCCACGCCCUAAACGAUGUCGACUAGUUGUCGGGCCUUUACAGGCUUGGUAACGCAGCUAACGCGUGAAGUCGACCGCCUGGGGAGUACGGUCGCAAGAUUA